rnacentral:rRNA from 1 species
GACAGAAGGUGCAAACGUUGUUCGGAAUUACUGGGCGUAAAGGGCUCGUAGGCGGCGCGGUAAGUCGGGUGUGAAAUCUUGGAGCUUAACUCCGAAACUGCAUUCGAUACUGCCGUGCUUGAGGACUGGAGAGGAGACUGGAAUUUACGGUGUAGCGGUGAAAUGCGUAGAUAUCGUAAGGAAGACCAGUGGCGAAGGCGGGUCUCUGGACAGUUCCUGACGCUGAGGCACGAAGGUCAGGGGAGCAAACGGG